rnacentral:rRNA from 1 species
GACGAACGCUGGCGGCGUGCUUAACACAUGCAAGUCGAACGGAAAGGCCCUGCUUUUGUGGGGUGCUCGAGUGGCGAACGGGUGAGUAACACGUGAGUAACCUGCCCUUGACUUUGGGAUAACUUCAGGAAACUGGGGCUAAUACCGGAUAGGAGCUCCUGCUGCAUGGUGGGGGUUGGAAAGUUUCGGCGGUUGGGGAUGGACUCGCGGCUUAUCAGCUUGUUGGUGGGGUAGUGGCUUACCAAGGCUUUGACGGGUAGCCGGCCUGAGAGGGUGACCGGCCACAUUGGGACUGAGAUACGGCCCAGACUCCUACGGUAGGCAGCAGUGGGGAAUAUUGCACAAUGGGCGGAAGCCUGAUGCAGCAACGCCGCGUGCGGGAUGACGGCCUUCGGGGUGUAAACCGCUUUCGCCUGUGACGAAGCGUGAGUGACGGUAAUGGGUAAAGAAGCACCGGCUAACUACGUG